ACGGAAUAGAUACCCAGGUAGUCCACGCCCUAAACGAUGUAUACUCGACAUAUGCGAUACACUGUAUGUGUCCAAAGCGAAAGCGUUAAGUAUACCACCUGGGAAGUACGUCCGUAAGGAUGAAACUCAAAGGAAUUGGCGGGGGUCGCACAAGCGGUGGAGCAUGUGGUUUAAUUUACGAUGAUACGCGAGGAACCUUACCUGGGCGUAGAAUGCAGAUUGACCGCUCUUGAAAGAGGGCUUUGUAGCAAUACACAGUCUGUAAGGUGCUGCAUGGUUGUCGUCAGCUCGUGCCGUGAGGUGUUGGGUUAAGUCCCGCAACGAGCGCAACCCCUUUUCUUAGUUGCCAGCGGUUCGGCCGGGGACGUCUAAGAAUACUGCCUGCGUAAGCAGAGAGGAAGGAGGGGAUGACGUCAAAUCAUCAUGGCCUUUAUGCCCAGGGCUACACACGUGCUACAAUGGUAGGUACAGAGGGUUGCCACACAGCAAUGUGGAGCUAAUCUCAAAAACGCCUAUCUCAGUUCGGA
rnacentral:rRNA from 1 species